GUCAGCACAACCCGGAACCUCCAACCCCUGAUGAACCACUGAGGGGUGCUGAUGUCGGGGGAAACCCUCCUGUGUACCAGCGGGAUAGAGAGAAAGACAAAGACCGGAAAACAACUAAAGCGCCCUUGUGGCGCUUUAGUUUU
rfam:Yokenella regensburgei ATCC 43003 genomic scaffold Scfld3, whole genome shotgun sequence.